ACCCAACUGACAAGUCCACAAAUAGAACGAAAUGCGCGUCCUGGAU
rnacentral:hammerhead_ribozyme from 1 species